GACGAACCGUGCGAACGUUAUUCGGAAUCACUGGGCUUAAAGCGCGUGUAGGCGGGGUGGCACGUCGGUCGCUGAAAGCCCCCGGCUCAACCGGGGAAGGGGCGCCGAUACGACCACCCUGGAGGGACGUAGGGGGACCUGGAACUUCCGGUGGAGCGGUGAAAUGCGUUGAGAUCGGAAGGAACGCCCGUGGCGAAAGCGGCGCACUGGACCACAACUGACGCUGAGGCGCGAAAGCUAGGGGAGCAAACAGG
rnacentral:rRNA from 1 species